rnacentral:tRNA from 1 species
GUCUCGGUAGUGUAAGGGUAGUGCACGGUCCCCGGAAAGGACAAGUACGGGUUCGAGUCCAGUCCGAGACU